GCCGUUUCUAUUAUAUAUUAAUCAUCAUCCACUCCCAUUCAUUCAAUAACGUUCUUCAAUCCUAUCUAAUCAGAUGCAUCCUUCCACCUCCCUGUGUUUCUUCUCAUAUAUAAAUCCUUUUGUAUCAGUUCAAGUUGAACCAAAUUCUAAAUCCUCCCUAAGACAAUUGAUCGACCGCCAAGAUACCCGAUCAUGCUUCCGGGAAUCUACCAAUUCGCCCUCAUCGAUGAACAGCAAGCUUCAUCUCAUCUAAUCGUGUUCCACGAUACGGCCUCAACUCAAACCAGGAGCUAAUUACAUCCUGCAGAAUUUCUUCGCAAUCACAAUCGAGGAGUGAUUGUAGCUGCAAAAGUUCCAUGCUUCACAGUCCUAGCUAUGUUUUUAGUCUCUUUUUUUUUUCUCUGUAUUUGGUAAGAUGCCACAUGAAUCUUCGGUGCAAUCUUAAUAAUAUUUGUUUUGCUUAUUGUUGCAAGUUGGAUUGUAACCCAGAGAUUGCCAAGCUGGUGAAUGAGGAGGAGGUAACUAAGGCUGAGACAAUGACCGUUGGUGAAAUCUUCGAUUACAUCAACAAAGGGUUCACCAAGGUAAAACUUGAGCUGUAGAUAUGCCACUCAAAUCAACAUACCUAACCUGGUCUUUGACGAAUGCAUAAGUUUUUUUUGUCUGCAUCUUCCAAAGGGAUUUGGAGACCUUGCUGAUGAGGGAAAUGAUGGCUCAAGUAAGAGUGGCGAAGCACAGGAAGCCAAACGUGCUACUCAUGGAAAAUAGUGCAUCAAUCGUUCAUGAUAAGAGGUCCACUACACAUGUCAAAGUGGUCCUUUUUUCACUUUCCUUCCAGUUCUUAAGUUUUGUUCUGUUAUUGCUCUGUAAUAGAUCCUUUCAUAUCUUAAUUAUUUCGACAAAGCUCAAGUUAGACUUUGAUCUUUUUAUUGCUUUGUCUGAUUGUGUAGUUUUAGUUGUUUGCUCACUGUUAGCUCGCACCCUCUGACCCAACCAAGAAGAAGAAGAUGAGAGUUGUCAUUAUGGAUCCUAUCGAGGACUCAACAGAGUCGCAAGCGAUUCAGUGCUUGGUAGUGCCGAGAAACUUUGGUUGUUUUGUAUACAUAUAUUACUUUGGCUGUUUCACUUCAAUGGUGUACAUACAUUACUUUGCCUUUAUUUAUUUUCACUGCAGCUUUUGAUGGCCUUCAGAGUUCAUUUGCUAGACAAAACUCAGUGAGUGUUCCAACGUCUUACGUCUUCUAAACUCUUUUCUUUUUGAACUGGUGCACUGAUAAUAAUGUGUCUCACAAUACUUUUUUUCCAAUGGGUGGGUUUAACCUCACAUUUCCAAUGGGAGGCCAUCCUUAGAAACCGCAGCGCAUCAUAGAUGACACUACAAGGUGCUCCGGGUAAACACUAAAGCUUACUAUUGCGUCUUCUUUGUUGUUGUUGUUGUUGUUGUUGUUGUUAUUCUCUCUUUAGCUCAUCAAGAAACUUCUCUAUUUACUUAACCAAGGAGAGUCAUUCACCAAGGUUGAAACAAAAUAACUUACUAUUCCGUUACAAAGUUUUCAGUCUAAAGACAAUGGUUUGGGAGAAUGUUCUACUUGAUCGUGAAGGAAUUGUCUCCAAGAGCUGAUGAGGUUCGUUGUCUGUAAUUUUGCCUUAGUAGCGGAAUCCUAAUAUAUAGUUAGGUAUAGAUUCCUCUGCCAAAUAAUAGACGAAACUCUUUUUUUCACCAACUGAGAGAUACUUGAAACAAGCUAUUGUCGGAAAGAAUCAUGGUGUUUCAAGCUAUUUGCUAUCAUGAUAUUUGCAUGGUUAUUGGUUGCAAAAUCAAUACUUCCCUUAAGAUGGCCGCCAUGAUGGAUGCUUUAGUUACUGCUUGACUUAAAUCAACUUGAAAAGAUUGAAGAUUACUUCUUCGAAUUAAUUUUAAAAUGAAGCACAAUGGUGCCACAUAUAAUACAAAGGUCGUUUACUAUGUAUUAUGACCCAAUGUAUGAUCUUAAAAUUCUUGCGUAAACAUGUGUUUUGUUUCUCUAUUUACUGCUAUUUUGGUCGUGCU